rnacentral:tRNA from 1 species
UAGAUUGAAGCCAGUUGAUUAGGGUAUUUAGCUGUUAACUAAAAAUUCGAGGGAAAUGUACCCCUCCAAUCUAG